AGCCCAGUCCCCGCACCACCCCUCCUGCAGCAGCGACUGCCGCGCCGCCCCGCUCCCGGACGGGGCUGCUCACCUACCUCGCCGCUGCGGGGAAAGGGGCCGUGGCGCUGCCUGCCCCGGCUCCAGGCCCAAAGUGGUGCACGUGGACAGAAGGAGUACCACGUGAUCCUGCACCUGCAACCGGGAGCUGCCCUUGACCAACCAGUCUCCAGAUAGGGGAAGAUCUGGACCCCCCGGCACCUGAGAUCGAGGGCGGCGUACCAGUCCCCGGGAUCCAGGGAGGAGAUGAUGGAGGCCAUGGAGACCAUGAGGAACUUGAGCUUCACCAUGUACUGUUUCAGGCCUCGCAGGUCCAAGAUGGGCCUAAGCCGCCCUUUGGCCUUUGGGAUAAGGAAAUAGCAUGAGGAGUACCUCUUGCCUUUGAACUCCCCCGGUUCUGCUUCCACCGCUCCUAGGCCCAGGAGCCGCCCCAUCUCCUGGUCGAGCAGAGCCUCAUGCAAGGGGUCCCCCAGGAGGGACGGAGCCUGGGGGUGGUUAGGCCGGGAGGAAGUAAACUGGAGGGUGUAGCCCCGGGAGAUGGUGUUGAGGAUCCAUCGGUUCGAGGUCAGCCGCAACCACUCCAGGAGGAAACCACACAACCGAUUGGAGAAGGGAAGCUUUAUUGAGGGUGGAUCCCUGAUGAGAACUGGCAGGGUGCUCCCGGGCGUCCCAUCAAAACUGCCUUUUCCCCGCUUGCUUGCCCUUGGAGGACCCAGGCUGGGGGGUAGGCCAAGACUGCCUCUAUGGGUGCUUCUUAUAGUGGCACCCAUAGACACAUACAGCGACUUCUUAUAAGCGGUCUCGUAUUUUGACUGGGUAGCCUGAGCAGGAGUGUGCUGCGGCUUGAACUUAGGUUUAGCCGGAGCCGGAACAUAGAGACCCAGAGUCUGGAGAGUCGUGCAGGAGUCUUUCAGGCCAUGCAGCUUUGUAUCCAUUUGUUCCGCAAACAGAGCUUUGCCGUCAAAUGGGAGUUCCUGCAGGGAGGUCUGCGCCUUGCUGGACAGCCCAGAUUGCAGGAGCCAUGACACAUGGACACCGCGGAGGCCAAGGACCGCGCGGCCGUGUCCUCUGCAUCCGAAACUGCCUGCAGAGUUGCCCUGGCAGCCGCUGUGCCCUCCUCCACCAGCGCUUUGAACUCCUUCCUGUUGCGCUCCUGGAGGAAGUCCUCGAACUUGGGCAGAGAGCCCCUCAGAUUGAACUCAUACCGACCCAGGAGAGCCUGGUGGUUCGCCACCCAUAACUAGAAGCUCGAGGAUGAAUAAAUUUUCCUUCCAAAUGAG